rnacentral:lncRNA from 1 species
GGUUUGCUUUUCAAGAACCUGAUUUGGGAGAAAAGAACCACUGAAAUUUUUUGAUUCAGCCAGCACUGAUGGAGCCUUCCUGCAAUCUUCUUCGUCUGUUUUGGGCCAGAUGAGGAAAUCCCAGGAAAAUGAAGUGCUCAAGUGACUUUACCUUCCUUUGAUUUCACCUACUGACAGGACCCCAACAGUUCUGCCUUCCAUACACGUGUUCGUUCUCUGUUGGAAUUUGAUAUCUUCGUCGUUAAGUUCAAAACGUCCAAAGAUGAACUUCAAAAUACUUCUGAACACUGAACAAAUCCAGGCUUGUGGAGAACACUCUGAAAUUCUGUGGCUUUAGAGGGAGCAAAGUUUGCCCGCCCAAGAACUCUGACCUUCAACAGGAAAGGACAGGUAGACUCCGUCAGUACGGGUGAACCGGCCGACAAUCACGUCAAAAUUCGGAGAAGACUUGGUGAUUCUAGGUGCGUUGACUGGGUGGCGGCUGCUGAAAUGACUUCCCCGGGGAAGAACUAGGAUGGGACUUUUUAAAGAAGAAGGAGCCUGAAAAUUCAACUAGUCAAUCAUGUUUAUGUGCAGAGCAAUAUACUAAACACUCGAGGGAGCAGAUUAUAAACUAUAUAACAGAGUUAGUAGACAGGCUCCCUGCCCUCAGUGAGCUUGCAGUCUAGAGGGGGGAUGUAAGCUAGACUCACUGUGGGACUGUAUUUACUGUUCUACAGUACCCUCUAAGUGCUUAGUACAGUGUUCUGCGUACAGUAAGCGCU